rnacentral:rRNA from 1 species
UACCAGCACCCCGAGUGGUCGGGACGUUUAUUGGGCCUAAAGCAUCCGUAGCCGGUUCUACAAGUCUUCCGUUAAAUCCAACUGCUUAACAGGUGGGCUGCGGAAGAUACUAUAGAGCUAGGAGGCGGGAGAGACAAGCGGUACUCGAUGGGUAGGGGUAAAAUCCGUUGAUCCAUUGAAGACCACCAGUGGCGAAGGCGGCUUGCCAGAACGCGCUCGACGGUGAGGGAUGAAAGCUGGGGGAGCAAACCGG